UGGAAAUGAGUUAUAAUAUCUCUCUAAUUUUUUUAACAUUUCCCUCUCACAUAUCUAGUUUCUGAAUCUCGAUUUUCUCUCCUCUACUCCAAACCCUUGCAUUUUUCUCGUUCCCUCUCAGUCUCGCUUCUCUCCCCCUUGCUUCGAGAACAGUCCUCCCUCUGCUGCUUCUGAGACUGUCUACGCUGCCUCUUCGUCAAAAUCUCCAAAGCGCGACCAAAUUCGUGGGGAUUGUGUUUGGAUUGGCGGGGAAAUUAUUGUUCGUCGGGGUGAAUUCGAGAAGUUGUUGUUCGUAAGAGGCGAUCGUGGAAGAAGGUGGUAUUGCUACACUUGUGGAGGCGAUCGAAGAUGGGUUGGUGAAGGGGAAGGAGUUCGCUAUUCUGACUCUUGUUCAGCUCUGUGCUCACAGAGGCUUGCUUGUGGAUUCCUCCUCUCGUUGCUCUUUCUCAAAACGACUCUGUUGGAGCUAAGCACAAGGUACAGUUGUGAAAAGCAAACGAGGGAAGGUGUUGGCUGAUCUAGCACAACCUGGCGAUGAAGUUCUUGUUGCCAGGGGAGGACAAGGNNGGGUAAUACACAUUCAAAAUUCUAUUAAAAUCUGUUAAUGUUGUGAUUGAGUCAUGAAUAAUUUAAUUCAUUAAAGACUAACAAAUUGUUUAGUGGAUAAGUUGUAUUUUUUCAGAAUGAUGAUAAAAUGAAUAAUUAGACCGUCAGAAUUCAUAUAUGCAUAUAGAUCAUUAUUUUGAUUGAUCUAAGAGUAAAAAAAAAGCUUGUGAGUGAAAUGAAGUUUGAAUAUACUAUAUUGAGUGCAACUUACUUAUAAGGUUAUGAGUAUUAGGUAUAGGACAGAGAUAUCAGUCUCCAUGUAGGACAGGUUUACCUUCUAUAGGUCUAUACAUUGACCUUGACGGGAAUAUAACACCUUUAGAAUUUAUAUAUAUAUAUAUAUAUAUAUAUAUAUAUAUAUACACCUCCAAUUUUGGCCUUAAAUUAAGUGUACGAUGAUGUUUCUGUUACUGAAAAGUUAUGAAUGUUCCAACCCUUUACCUUUAAUAUUAAACAAAGAAUAAAAUUGACAAUAAUAAGAUUAAUGAUAUGGCUAAUUAUACACCAAAGAGUGACAUGUAACAACCCAAAUAUGAGAAAAAGAACUGUUCCAUUAAAAUAAGGAACUCCCACUGUUGUGUAAGAUUUGAAGUUAACAGAAAGUAGUGAAAUUAUUGAAAUAAGUUAUGGUUUAAUUUAUUGUGACUAAUUUCUAUAAUCUACAGACUAGAAAAUAGAUAUAUAUAGUGAGUGGUCCUAGUAAAUUUGCUGUUUAAUUUUUGUCAAAAUCUCUCUAAUCUCCAUACCACCAUUNAUCGUAUGGUCACGUGUUGUAUUUUAAACUACCACUUGGACUAUUAUUUUUAAUUACGACUGCUAUUAUUUUUAAACUUGUAUAGGUAUAUACGUGCAAACACAUUAUUUGGGUAACAAAUAACACUAAUUAGUCACAUUGAAAAUAACACUUAAACAGUGAAACUUGGGAAAGUAUGAAUUGGCUAUAACUGACAUGUUUUAUAAAGAAGANGGAGAAAGAUAAUAAAUUUCAUACACUAACAAAGGGCCAAGCAUAAAUUGAAAUUAAGAAAUAACUAAAAAAGAACUUAUUACUGCUUCAAUAUACCUAGACUUAUGAACAUAAGAUUAGAAAUAUACAUUGAAGUUAUCAGAUAAAGAAUACCUUGUCAAUAAUGCUUUCAAUCACGUCAUCUGCAAGAUUCAUGCCAGCUUCGGCUAGAGUAGCCACCACCAUUUGUCUGAAACAUAAUUUCCUCUGUAAUUAGGUUCUAGGCAGACAAACUAAAAAUCACCUGAUUUGCAUUUGGAGUAUAGCUUGCCAAUCCACUAUCAGAAAGACGAGGAUUGAGAUCUGUAUCAAGCAAUAUGUUGGCUGACUUUAUAUUCUUAUGAACAACAGAUGGUGAACAAACUUCAUAUGAGGAAGAUGAUCUUUAUCAGGAAAUCAACAACUAUAGGAAAACAUUAAACUUGACAUCUCUGACAAAGAAUGAAAAUGCAAAUUGCUUUGCUGAUGAAAUGGCUGACCAGUUCAAGAAUCAACCUUGUACAAAUA